GAUGAACGCUGGCGGCGUGCCUAAUACAUGCAAGUCGAGCGAACAGACGAGGAGCUUGCUCCUCUGACGUUAGCGGCGGACGGGUGAGUAACAUGUGGAUAACCUACCUAUAAGACUGGGAUAACUUCGGGAAACCGGAGCUAAUACCGGAUAAUAUAUUGAACCGCAUGGUUCAAUAGUGAAAGACGGUUUUGCUGUCACUUAUAGAUGGAUCCGCGCCGCAUUAGCUAGUUGGUAAGGUAACGGCUUACCAAGGCAACGAUGCGUAGCCGACCUGAGAGGGUGAUCGGCCACACUGGAACUGAGAAACGGUCCAGACUCCUACGGGAGGCAGCAGUAGGGAAUCUUCCGCAAUGGGCGCAAGCCUGACGGAGCAACGCCGCGUGAGUGAUGAAGGUCUUCGGAUCGUAAAACUCUGUUAUUAGGGAAGAACAAAUGUGUAAGUAACUAUGCACGUCUUGACGGUACCUAAUCAGAAAGCCACGGCUAACUACGUG
rnacentral:rRNA from 1 species